GCUUCCUUUUCUUUGCGUGGUCACGCCUACUUUUCACCCUCCCUGGACGAAGGUCGCUCUCCUCUAUCUCCCCGUCGCCUGCCUCUGUCGCUCUUUACCUAUCAUUCGUAAGCCAUUUCAAUUCGCUUAUCAUUCCCUGUUUAGUGCGAGGAUCGAUGAUUCUGGAUCAACUCCAAUGAUUACCACUGUUUAAUAUCUCUUUAUUUUUCGUUUCCCCCCUCUCGAUAUCUUUGAAUUUCUAGGCUUUCAUAUCUGAUCCUGUCUGUACCCGUCGAUUUUGACUGCACAGUAGCGUCGCCGUAGGACUUCUGUUUAUCUUCAAGGGCGUGGUUGUCUGAAAUCGAAUUGUUAUCGGAUCUGACUUCGUUGUUAGGGUUUCUAAUUGAUUUACGCCUAUUCGUGUUCCUCAAAUUAGAAAUUCCAGGCUGAGUUUUCUGUGCUCUGGGUUUAGGGUUUCGCAAGCAGAAAUCCUACGUCUGGUUGGAGAGGGAUCAGGGGUUUUGCCUACAAGUUAGCAUUUAGGUACAUUUAUGGCUGCUGGGAGACAUGGAGGCUAUCGCGACAAUGAAUUUAGGGAUCGUGAGUCCAAUUUUGAUGUCUCAAGGCGGGGAUAUGCUAAUUCUGAGGAAGAUUACGAUCGGAUUAGGACUGGUAGCCGCGAUGAUGCGAGAGGUCGGAGCACGAAUGCAAGAGAUAGAAUUAGAAUGAGACAGAAGGAUAUAAGGGAGAGAGAGGCGAUGAAUGGGAGUUAUCAUUCAUCUUCAAGUAGGAGUAACUCGGGGAGCAGCAGUGGUGGCCUUGGUCCCAAAAAAUGUGGUUUUUCUGUCAAGGCAACGGAUAGGGAGCCAGGUGAGCUUUCCAGCGACAGUGGCUCUGAUGAAGCUAUUGAAUCAGAACCUCAGGGGAAAGGCUUUGAGGUCGCGAAGGUUGAAAAAAAUGGGGCGCUGUCUCCGGUGGAGAGGAAAAGAAAAUUUUCACCGAUAGUGUGGGAUCAAGAUGACAAAGAAGUCAAUAGUUCAUCCAAACUUAAGGUGUCCACAACUUUGACUGCUCUUCCUCCUCCACCACCACUGCCAAAAGCAUUCCGUCAGUCACCUAAUGCUCCAUUUGGUGGAGUGGAGAUACAUCCCGUGAACAAUAGAGAAACUGAUAGUCUUGAGUUGCCUACAGCAGUUAAACGUCCUCUGUCCUCUGAGUCAGUUCAGGAUGUUGAUACCGAGUCUACUGUCAGAGUGGUUCCUUUGUCACCGGAUCAAAAUUUGGGCAAUGAUCAGGAGGCUGAGCAGCAAGAGGGUGACGAUUAUGUUCCAAUGCAUAAUAUAUCAUCUUCAAGAUGGGCAGCUGGGGAUAACUCUCCUGGCGAUGAAGGUGAAAUUGUAGAUGACGAUGAUGAAUUUUCUAAAAAGAAGAGGAGGUUAUCGCCAGAGAUAUUGAAUACCAGAGUACGAAACAAGCUGUUGAGCCCAGAGGAAUCAAAAAGAGAUGGUUACGAAGGAGCUAGAGCUAAAUCAUCUGAAUCUGAAGAAAGAGGUAGCCAUGGUAAAAUCUCCACUGGGGAUGAUCAUGCUGGUAUUGGAUCUGAUAAGGAUGACUAUAUGGAAAAUGAUGGUCAAGGUGUUAAAAGUGAAACCACUGUUAGCCACUCGGAUACUGCUUCUGAAAAUGAAGAUGAUGGAAGGGAGACUCCAGAUCCCCCAGCUCCACCGCAAAGAGUUGUCAACAUGCUUCAGGGUUGUAGAAGUGUUGAUGAGUUCGAGAGACUCAACAAGAUAGAUGAAGGAACAUAUGGUGUUGUAUAUAGGGCCAAAGAUAAGAAGACUGGGGAAAUUGUGGCGUUGAAGAAGGUAAAGAUGGAGAAGGAAAAAGAGGGCUUUCCGCUGACUUCUCUUAGGGAAAUAAAUAUUCUACUUUCUUUUCACCACCCAUCUAUAGUUGAUGUUAAAGAAGUAGUGGUAGGUAGCAACCUUGAUAGUAUUUUUAUGGUGAUGGAAUACAUGGAACAUGAUCUUAAAGGACUAAUGGAGGCAAUGAAGCAGCCAUUCAGCCAGAGUGAAGUGAAGUGCCUUAUGCUCCAGCUUUUAGAAGGCGUGAAGUAUCUUCACGACAACUGGGUGCUUCACAGGGAUUUGAAGACUUCUAACCUGCUUUUGAAUAAUAGGGGUGAGUUAAAAAUUUGUGAUUUUGGGUUGGCUCGUCAGUAUGGGAGUCCAUUGAAAACGUACACGCACCUGGUUGUUACUCUUUGGUACAGGGCACCCGAACUACUUCUGGGGACAAAACAGUAUUCGACAGCCAUUGACAUGUGGUCUCUGGGUUGUAUAAUGGGUGAGCUAUUGUCCAAAGAACCGCUAUUCAAUGGGAAGACUGAGUUUGAUCAAAUUGACAAGAUUUUCCGUACUCUUGGGACACCAAAUGAAACAAUUUGGCCCGGGUUCUCUAAAUUACCUGGAGUGAAAGUCAAUUUUGUCAAGCAUCAGUAUAACCUUCUGCGCAAAAAAUUUCCUGCCACGUCAUUCACUGGUUCUCCAGUUCUCUCUGAUUCUGGAUUUGAUUUGUUGAACAAGCUUCUUACUUAUGACCCUGAAAAGAGGAUCACGGCUGAAGAAGCUCUCAAUCAUGAGUGGUUUCGUGAAGUUCCUCUUCCCAAGUCUAAAGAAUUCAUGCCUACUUUUCCUGCUCGACAUGCUCAAGAGAGGCGGACCCGAAGACUAUUAAAAAGCCCUGAUCCUUUGGAGGAGCAGCGUAGAAAGGAGUUGCAGCAGGGUGAAUUGGGGACUGGCGGUAUUUUUGGCUGAGAAUCAUGCUCUGUAAAGCUAUGGCCUUGAUAAUCAUUCUAACAUGCUCCGCUGAUUGUUUUCAUGGAUGAGGUGAGAGAGUGUACUGAGCAGAAGUUGCAAACAUUGUUAAACAAUCACUUGUGCUGAUUUUUUAGCAGGCACUUGAUUUUUGCGGAGAAUUUGUGUUCUUUUACCUCCUGGGAUCGUUGGCCAAAAAUACCUCCACAGAUCCAGAAUUCUUUCAGGUCAAUUUCCUGCCUGAUUUGGCCAUCAUAUAUAUACGAACUUGGAACACUGCCAGAAGCACAAGAGACUGUUGGUGUGAAGUGGCAGAGGGCCUUCUUGCAUUUCACUGAAGAAAUUGACAGUAACAUUGUGCUUAAAAGGUAAUGUAUUCCUUUAAUAUCUCGGAUAUUAAGGGAUAUGGAUUAUUUUUAUUUGUCCAUGAGGUAUAUUGUCCAUAAACCAAUGUUGUUUGCACGGGCACAUGAUCAGUAUUUUUUAAUUGAGUGAUGCUACUCAUACGACCAUAUUGGUUGGUAAUUACAGUUGUGUCUGAGAAGAGUUGGGUUGUUGGCUAUGUACAGAGUAAACGACUGCAAAUAAAGUUGUCUUGUGAGCAAUUUGAUUGUGGGAGUAUCAUUACUCAAUGUGCCUAGAAUUUUUCUCAUCCUUUCUGCAUAACAAUCCUGGCUGAGGAUUAUCAAUGUCACAAGGCUGCUAUUUGUGUGGAAGUCAUUAAUUGGAUAAGCCAUGAUCCCAUGGUUUGGGUUCUGUUUAAUACUAAAUUUUUUUAUUUUCAUGAAAAACGAAAGGUCAGCUCCAGUGGAUCUUAUUUCUGAGAUUUCUCUUUUAAAAAAACUAAUGACUGGUCAUCAACUUUGUUUCUGUGUGUACAAACUAAUUGAUACGUUAGACAGAUUGUUGAGAUGGGUUGAUUGGGCAGAAAUGUUACUUGCAUACGUAGCGUUUGAUAAUUAGGACAAUUCAAGAGGAUAUCUAUGAUGUUCAGCUUUGUGUUUAAUUUGUGUCAUGCCAUUACCUAUUAUAUUUAAACAACUUCAGGUCGCUUUGGCUAAUGCACUGUAUGUAAAUUGGAUAUAAAAUGCUCUUAAUUCUUCAGAUAUGAACUGCUGGAAAUUUAAGUGUGUUUGGCUAUCCAUUUCUAAAGCCCAGUUUGCGUUGGUAAAUCCACUUUCUUGAAAGCAACUUCUUUUUGCAUCUGCAAAAACAAGUUUUGGGUUGAUAUUUCAUUUGGAAAUAGUUUGAGUCACCCAAACGAGCAUAUAUCAAAACUAGGUUGGUAGAAAGUCACUUGGAGCCCUCUAACUGGAUAGCCAAACACACACCAAGUCCCUAGCAUAUUUGAUUUUCCACCUCCCUUGGGGGGAAAACAAAUAUAAGUAUUGUGGAUUGUACACUUUUAAUCAGUUCACACUAUGAUGAAUUAUUUUUUCAUGCUGGUGCCGGUUGAAUUGUGAUGUCAAGAUCUCAAUGAUCAUUCACUGGAUAGGUUGCUCGAGUUUGUUUUUUUUUUCCCCUUGCUCUCGUUUUUUUUUAUUGUUAUUUAUCUUGGUCAAAUUUUUUUAUUGAAUACAGUCAUGACUCUUGGGCCUUUUUACUCAUUUCUUCUUCACCCCCUUUUCCCAGAUAUAUAAUUAUAACUUUUUUUCAGCAUUUUAGCCUUAAGUGAGGUCCUCAUCUCAAUAGAGCGCCUAUAUUAUGAGUUCUUUGAAUUAGCUACUUCUCCAGCCGUUUGUUAAUUUUCCAUCCAUUCAGGAUCCUAUUUAACUAUAUUGGAUUCAUCCUCCUUCCCUAACACCAAAUAAAUUGCUGCGUCUUUUCACUAUAUCAUCUGUGUAUGUUGCUGUACCUAAAAAUAAAUUACUUGCUUAAAAGAAUUGAAAUGAAAUGAAAAUAAUUCAUGUCGUUUGUACUAAUGGAAAAUUGAAGUUUGGGCUGCUACAAGAAUUCUUUUAUGACAUUUGUCUGCAAAUGUCACUGCAGUAUCAAAGCACGCAGGUUGAGGAAGUUACUCGUUUACCCUGGAAUUUAUAGAACAUCAAUUAGUUGUUCCUUCGGGCUCUCUAGAGGGCACGACUGAAUGAUAGUUAUCACUUAAGGGAAAUCACCAUUCUCAAUGUAUCCUAAUGUGGUUGGUUUAGAAGGUCACUUGUGCUUGGACUGUGGUUGAUACUUUUUAAGAUGGUAGGAUGGACUUUCUUUUCAAUUUUAUUAUUUACAUUUUUCGUGGUGGUUGAUGAAAUGGAAAGGAGCUGUCAUCUGGGCUAAUAUAUGGCAAGGUGAUGGAGGGGGGAACAUUUUUUAACUCUGAAAUAACGUUUGUAUGCAUCCUAUUUAAUUAAUUCUAUCUAGGUAGUAUAAUGUUGAGCUGCAGUUUUUUUUUUUUUUUAAAGAAAUAGAAGAUAGCCAUUCGUCUUUACCCUGCAAUUUAUGGAGAACAAAAUAUAUGGGAUGAUAUACGAUAUUCUCACAAUUAACUUGUAAUAAAUACGCUUAUGACAUAAGGUGUUUCUCUAUAAUAUGCAUCCUUCACAUUUCCCAAAGUUCCAUAUUUUAUUUUGUUUGCUGGUUCUGAUAUGGUGGAAAGUUGUUGCUUUUCUGUGGAUUAUUUAUCACAAGUCUUAGAGUAAUUAUUUUGGAAGACAUAUAUUAUCAAUCAAAUUUUGUCUUAAAACUGGAUUAAUAUCAUUCUUGAGGCAGUAAGUGGUAAGGUGUAGUUCAAGUUGAUGUGAUGAAAGUUUUGCUACGUGUCAUGGUUGAUAUCUGCAGUACCCAGACCGUUUGUUAUUGAAAUUUUUUAAUGCUGUUUUUCUAAUGUACAGAUAGAAUGUAACAUAUAUAUAACUAUCAAUUGAGCUUUAUAAACAUUUUUACACAGAUUUAUGAAAGCUUUGACAAAAUUGAUGUGGUUCUUGUCUAAACUUUGUGUGCCUGUGGCUAUUAUGUAAUCUGUCACAUGGUAUAAACAUAAUUGCACUUGAUGGUGCGUGCUUGUGAGGUGGGAUGCAAUGCAAAUCAUUCAAACUCAAAUAUGAUCAAUUUCUAGUUACCUCUUCCCAAACAGGCAAAGUCCUCUGAUGAAAAACUCUUAGUAAUGACCUUACCUGCCAAGGGUACAAAUGACUGUAAUGACACUUAUCGUGAUUGUUCUGCUAUAACUAUGAAUGUAAGGGUGAACCAAGAUGAUUUUGUGAUGAUUUGCAUAGAAGUUUUUGAAUGGCAGAAUGCUGCUUAAUUUGUGCAGUUUUGAUUUUUAUUCACUAGUUGAUCAUUCUUUUUUAAUUCUAACGUUUUGCCUGUUGCUGUUGGGAUGAGGUGCAAUCCAUUCUCGUGUGAUGCCAUACCUGGUUUAUUACGUUCAUUCUUCCUAGCAUGUCAACGUACCACGAUGGAGGGGUGUAGUUAGCGCAGGUUGCUGACUGGCAGUUGUGCAUGAUUGUCAUAAUUUUUAGUCAGUCAAUUAAUGUAUUUGCUAUAUUUCCGCAAUCCACGCCAAUAAUUAGAGGGGACAUUUAUGUUUGUUCUAGAGCCCGCCAUCAAGCUUUGUGGGUUUUGUUUUAGACAAGGAAAAUAGAUGACUUGUUUUUGCUUCUAUAAA